rnacentral:tRNA from 1 species
AAGGUACUAGUAAAAAGAUAUUACAUUGCUUUGUCAGGGCAGAAUUGCAGGUUAAACCCCUGCGUACCUUA